GCGGCGGGGGCGAGAGCGCCUUUUGUUCGCGGCCCCGCGGCGAGGCGCGGCCCCCGGGCUCCCCUCAGGCGCCUCCCGCCGCCGCCGGGCUCCAGGCGGAGCGGGGCCGGGCCCGGGGCCGGGAGCGGGGCGGGCAGUGCGCGCGUGUGUGUGAAGCGGGCGCUGGUGCCGCAGCUGCGCCGCCUGGAGCCUGCCCUUCCCCGGGGAGCUGCGUGCGGCGCCGGGGCCGCCGCUGGCGGCGCGGACGGAGUCGCUGGAACUCGGAGCAACUUCCCUGACAGGCCGGCGCCGCUCGGCGCCCUCCGCGGCCGCCGGGCCUUCCCCGCGGGCUGCGGCCGGCGCGGAUCUCGGGCGCGGUCCCGUCUCCUGCUCCGCUCGGCCGGCGCUCGGCGAGGGAAAUUGUUGUCUGGAGUCUAGUGAUCUCAGCAGUGCACAGCUUAUGCUUCAGAGAAUGAGUGAUCUGGCCUGGAGCGCGUGUGGCUUGUUGCAAAAACCCAGCCUGAGUUUCUGAGCUGCAGAACUAACUGUUGAACAAUGUACCCAGAACUGUGUUUUUCUGAAGCACUUUGAAUGAAAAUUUUAUGCCAUAUGGAGAGUUGUCAUUAGCUGAACUUCACAGAUUGGGUUUGUAAUGAGCAGCUUGGAAGAACAAAAUGCAGCUAAAUUUAAUGUUUCCACCCUGAGUAUGAAAUGUGUGUUAAAUACUUGAAAGCGCUAGGAUUUCUGUAGGUAGUGCUGCAGAAAUUUCGUCUGUGUGGGGGAUACAUUAUUCGGUUGCAUUGUCUUGCUGUAUCAUGAAGGCCCCUAAAGUGUUUGGGUGUCUGCCAACAUGUAUGUUUUUUCUUUUCUUUAGUUCCCUUAGCAUAUUUAAAUAUUUUUUUCUGGAAUUGAUACCAGACGUUGCUAGAAAUAUAUAUUUUUUUUAAUUUCCACAUAACCUAUUUGAAGGGGAGUGUUAAAGUCUUAGCAUCUUGAAUCACCUUAUGAGCUAUGUCACUUAAGUCAGUCAGUUGCUGCAGCUCAUUUUCACAUGGCCAGCUAUCUUUUUUUGAAAGCCAUUGCUCAAUUGCAGUAAAUAGGCAUUUGAAGAACAGUUACAAAACAGCUGGUGUUUUUGAACUUUCCAAAAGAUCUCCUCUCUGUAUGUUACUUGUAUCUAGAUAUGCUUGUGUAAUACAUGUACAUUUGAUUAGCUGCUUAAGUAUGGGAAGAUCAUCAUGUGCCAACACCCAAUAGUUUGGUAAUAGUUUUCAAGAAGACCUAUACUGAUAAGUGUGCACUGAAGGAAUUUAGUUACCAUGUGUAGUUUGCCUUGUAUAGUACAGUGCUUCAUCUGCAAAUAAACAGUGACUGAUCAUUAGUGAGAAUCCAGUUAGCAGGAGACCGCAAGAGGGAUGGGAAAGAUGCAGGAAAUGGUGCAGUUCUCUUGUGGAAUAGAGCUUUUCUUCCCUGGUGGCAUAUCAGCUGCCCCUGCCUGGAAGGGUCAUAUGUGAGAUUGCAUCUGUAGCGCCUAGGCACCCGCUCGUUUCUUGUUAAACUGCCGCAGGACAAAGUCCAAGUACGUUUUAUCGGCCCAUGUCUCUGUUGCAUGGAAGCAGAGCUGCAAAGAAAUUCUGGCAGAAGACUCUGGAAAUGCAGCCCAAAUGUAGCCCACAGAGCGUAGCCUGAACUUGCUGCUGAAUACAGCAAAUAAAAUAAGAUGGGACUUCUUACUCUGGGAGCUGCAGCUCCUUGUUCUUCCCAUAAAGCUUGGCAACCCAUGAAGUGCUUCAUAGUGCUUCGGGAUUACGUUGUAGUUUGUCAGUGGCUUGAAAAACUGCUAGCAGGUACCAAGUGCUACACAGUUACAGAAAAGCAGAGGUGAGCAGCCUGUUCUCCCAUUCUCUCCUCCACUAAAUAGAGUAGCAGAGUGCCUCCAUCUCUUCAGUAAGGGUGUUCUGACCUUCACCUGAACGUGAGAAAUUGCUGCUUUAUGCUUCCCUUGCUGCCUUUUUGUUUUCUUACAACAUCUCUGCAACUGUUGCAUCAAAUCCAGGAGGGCAGCUGCUGUGAUUGC